UACGGAGGGUGCGAGCGUUGUCCGGAAUCACUGGGCGUAAAGGGCGCGUAGGUGGCGCGACGAGUCUGUGGUGAAAGCCCGAGGCUCAACUUCGGGUCGGCCGCGGAUACUCUCGUGCUGGAGGGUGGUAGAGGACAAUGGAAUUCCGGGUGUAGCGGUGGAAUGCGUAGAGAUCCGGAAGAACACCGGUGGCGAAGGCGGUUGGCUGGGCCACACCUGACACUGAGGCGCGAAAGCGUGGGGAGCAAACAGG
rnacentral:rRNA from 1 species